CGUGAGUGCCCGGCCCCGCCCCGCAGCCGUGCCCAGGAAGCGGGAGCAGGAAGCUGCGGGGCCGCGGCGAUGGCGGGCAGCGGCCCGGCGUGUAAAAGCCAUUGCCACGGGCCUCAUCGACCUCAUAUGCACAACAGGCAGAGCGCCCAUGGAGAGCAAGGUCUCCCAGGCCCAUAUCCCGUUGCUGAAGACCCCAGCAGCUGUGAUAUUGUCAAGGCUACACAGUAUGGAAUGCUAGAGCGAUGCAAAGAACUGGUAGAAGCAGGAUACGAUGUUCGCCAACCAGACAAAGAAAAUGUGACUCUUCUUCACUGGGCAGCAAUAAACAACAGACAGGAGCUGGUGAAAUAUUACAUUUCCAAAGGUGCGGUAGUGGAUCAGCUCGGUGGAGAUUUGAAUUCUACGCCCCUGCACUGGGCCAUUAGACAAGGACACCUUCCCAUGGUCAUGUUAUUGUUGAAAUGUGGAGCGGAUCCCAGUCUUAUUGAUGGGGAAGGAUUCAGUAGCAUUCAUUUAGCAGUGCUGUUCCAACACAUGCCCAUCAUAGCCUACCUCAUAUCAAAAGGCCAGAAUGUAGAUACAACAGACUUCAAUGGACAAACACCUUUAAUGUUAACAGCACAAAAAGCCAUUGGACCAGAACCCAUGAGGUUUCUCUUAAAGUUUAACCCCUCUCUCAAUGCUGUAGACAAUGUUCAAAAGAAUACUGCACUUCAUUGGGCAAUAGCCUCAGGAAAUACUAGUGCAGUGGAUCUGUUGCUGGAAGCUGGUGCUAGCCUGGACAUAAAAAAUGUCAAGGGAGAGACACCGCUUGACCUUGCUUAUCAAAGUCAGAAUAACUUCAUGGUUUAUAUGAUACAAGAGGAAGAAAGAAUGAGAAACAGGAGAAGUAACAGGUUACUGAAAAUAGUAGAGAAAUAUGAGCUCUUCCUGAUGUUGGCAUCUUCCUUGACAUUCAUGUGGGCCAUUGGAUACGUCAUGAACUUAAGUUCUGAUUCUUGGCUUUUAAAAGGAGGUUUGCUUCUCAGCCUGCUAUUUGGGAUGUCUCUGUUUGUGAGGCAACUUGUGGGACUCAAGAAUCUGAGGUAUCUUCCCACAGCAUUUCUGCUAAGUUCAGUUUUUUGGAUGUCCAUGACCUGGUUUUUCUGGUUCCUGCCUGAUACCACAAAUGUAAUUGUUAAAAUCACUGUCGUGUUCAGCAUGAUGGGUCUUCUCUAUUAUUUCUAUAAAACCUGGAGUACUGAUCCUGGAUAUAUAAAGACUUCAGAAGAAGAAAGAAAAGAGAAUAUUGUAGCUCUUGCAGAAGCUGGUUGCUUGGACUUCAGAACAUUUUGCACAUCAUGUCUUGUAAGGAAGCCUUUGAGAUCUGUGCAUUGCCUUGCUUGCCAGGCAUGUGUAGCCAGAUAUGAUCAGCAUUCUCUGUGGACUGGACAUUGCAUAGGCAUUGGGAACCAUUAUUACUACCUGCUGUUCCUGUCUUUCCUAACAAUGACUGGUGUCUGGCUGCUUUAUGGAACUCUUCAGUAUUGGUCCAACCACUGUGCAGCAAGCUACCAUCAAGAUGGAGCGUGGACAUACUUCACCCAGACCGUGUCCUGCUCUCCGUGGGUUUCCUACAUCUUCUCAGUAGCCUGUUUCCAUACCCUAUGGGCCUCCUUGUGGCUCACUGUUCAGCUUUAUCAGAUUGUGUUCCUGGGAUUGACCUCACAUGAAAGAAUGAAUCUCCUGGUACAGAGAAAAUCGUCUAAGCAUCCUGUUUCACUCAGGAGGACUCCAUACAACCUUGGAUGCUUCCAGAAUCUUGCAGACUUUUUCCAGUGCAGUUGCUUUGAUCCUGUUCUCCUGCCGGCACUGAGGAGAUCCAGGUUGAUGGCGUGUGAUCCUGCCAAAUGUCCAUCACAGCUGCACUUUGGGUAAAAGCUGUCAGUGCAACAGCAGUCUGCAGGAAAGAAGGGAGAUAAUUGGAUUCAGUGGCUUCUAAACUGUCAUGCUGGAAUUUGUACUGCAAAGUGCUACCUCAUCUGCAGAGAAAGCAAAAUUCCUGGAAGCCAAACAUCACAGAGGAGUAUGGAGGGAAAGAGUUCUCCACAGCAAUCAGUCUUAACUGCGGAAUACUGAAUUUUACUGAUGAAGAGUUUUGUGUGAUCCUGUUUCAAAGCAUUUGACAGUCAGUAUAUGCAAACAAAGGACUGGGGAGGUAAGGGAUCUCAACAUUGCCCUCAGCUCCUUACUGUGACCUUCAUUCCAAUGGAAACCUGAAAGCCUCUUUAUGUCCUCUUAGAAACAGAAAUCCUACAUUCCUACAAAAUAAGGUUUUAAAAGCACACUAAAAAGAAUCCAACCAAAGACAACCUGUGUAGGUGUAGUUUGUUAAAGUUUUGUUUCUUUUGCAAAGACUCCAAGUAGUGUUUUCCCGGGCAAGACAAAUCUUACCUCAGGAGCAGGAAUGGCAAAUGUCACAGGUAUGUCUUGUUUUGUUUUGAUUUUAUCUUCAUCUUCUGGAAUAUUUUCUUUUGUACAUUGGUCACAGCAACUUGCCAUGUUUUGAUCUACUGUUUUGGUUUCAUUCUGUCUCUUUUCCUGGACAUUGUCCAUUUCGUGAUUAGUUUGUGAGCUGUUGGAAGGUGGUUUCUCAUUCUUAGUGGAUUCUCCCUUUGAAAAAAGUACAUACAGAAAGAAAGGCAGAUGUGGUAAGGCUUAACAUUGUCAGUUACAGCCCUUUCCUCAUUCCCAAGUUUGUGCUAUAAAAAUUUCUGGUCACUGAGAUAGCCAGGUCCAUGCUAUCACCUCUUGUUCCUUCCCAGCUAGGAUGUUUGAUAGCAUGUGCUAUCAAACACACCCAUAGCAUAUGAUGACUGUUUUGGCAAGCCAAAUUUGCAGCAGAUUUAUAAUUUACAGAGAUGCUAAACAAUCAGCAGCAGAGGAGUAGAAAGCAAUCCAGCCCCAGUCUCUCCAUAUACAUUAUCUGAACCUUUUAUUCUCUUCAUGUGCUCUUCUAUUACGCCUACAACAACUGGGUGGAAAUAUUUAGAGGGUAUCAGGAUUUUGGGACGUUCCCUGUCCAGUGAAUUUUAUAUGUCCACUUUCCCUCCUACACCUCUAAAGCCAAGAAUGGAUGGCAGCAAGUUUAUAGAAUCCUAGAAUUCAAAGGACCUUAAAGAUCACCUCCUGCCAACCUCGCUUUCAACCUGACCUACUCCAGAAUCAUACAUAAAUAGGUAUGUUUUGACAUAGUGUUUUGGGAGUUGUUUUAUUUUCACGACACCUGUACACUUUGUCUUUUUAGAUACAAACCCCAGCCCCUCAAGCAUCAGCAAGCACAGCAAAUGAACAACAUCUCUUCAAGCCUGAUGUUAUUUAAAACGCCCACACUCAGCGGCAGGCUCCUACAUCACUUUGAAAAUGAGAAGGUGGCAACAUCACUGAGCUAUAAAAUGGCAUUUUAAAACUAAUUUAACUUACCGAAGAAGUAUCAAGGCUUUCCUCAUCACUUUUACACCUUUUAAUUAAAUUAUUCUCUGGUGAUGCUUGUGAUCUUUUAAGGCACCGCCGAGAUGAAGUUUCUGAUUUCGUAUCGGGUCUUUCUUCAGCUGCCAAGGACUUUGUUGGCUCCUCCACACCUCUCUGGGCGUCCCCUUCCUCAGAGGUUAUUUUAUUUAAUACUUUGGAAUUAUUACUCUUAAUUCCAGUUACGUUAGCACAUGGCAGAGGCUGCAACAUGAAGCCUGGGCUGUAGGUUGUCACAGUGUGGGCUUGGGAAGGGUGCAGAUAUAUUGCAUAUGAAACCCCAGACUGAGGAUGAGGUAGGAUGACUGGUGACACCGAGCUGUGGCUCGAAGGGCACACCCCGAGGGGCUGGCUCAGAGCUGGCUGCUGAGAGGGUUCAGGCUUGGGGACAGCCUCAGGCGAGGACAGGGCACAUUUCAUUUGCAUCUCUUCUGCUGUCCUUAAGCAAAAAAACAAACAAAAAAAGCCCAAAUGUAUUUUAAUGUUAAUUUUUAAUGAAUGCCCUGACAAAUUACCUACUGUAAUACAAAGAGUUAACAUGAACUUGUACUUCUCAAUCCGAUAAAAAGAAAAUAAAUGAAAAAAAGGGAUUAGUGGUUUUUGCAGGCUAUUGCCCCACUCGAACUGAGCUUAACAUUAACUUAAAGGCCAGUGACAUCAUAAAGCUUCUCACCUUUAAACUUGUGCAAACUUACUUGGAUUGUCCUUCCAGCUGAUGUUUAGUGAUUGCUGGAAACUGAGCUACUGUAUUGGGGAAAACUGGUAAACUUUGAUAAGUACCUGGUUGGAGGAGAAAAACAAAUCCAAACUGUUAGUACAUCAAAUUCAGAAGUUAAAAUUCAAAGUUAAUUGGAGGAGACUGCGUUAUGUAAUGUAACAUACACAUUUAAUGAGACAACUUAUCCUCAAACUCAGCCCAGAUUUGAUUUGAUCAACUGGAUGACAGCUUACAUCAAACAAAUUUUAAAGGCCCCAAAGAGAAUCCCUAGCAAGAACAUGAACAUUGACAGAUAAUUUUCUGGCCAUUUUUUGGAAUACAGAACUGCUUAGAUAGUAUGUUCCAAAGCAGAGUUUCUACAACAAAGCAGGUUCAGAGAAGAUCCAAUAUUCAGAGAUUCAGUGAUUCUACCCUAACAGAAGGUUUGUAGACAAUUCUAUAUUUCUGACAGUUCUAAAGAUUUAUUUUUUGAAAGGAGGCACCACCACACAUCUGCAUGUCUUGUGAGAAGAAGGCAAGCCCAAAUAUUUAAUGCAAGACUUUGUUUUCUUCUGACUUAAAAACAAAGGCAAAGAAGUUAUAAAAGAAAAAUUAUAAAAAGAUACAUACUGGCACUUAUUUUAACUGGGCUGGUUGGAGCAGACUGGAUCUUCCUUCUGUCGUUUUCUAUACUCUUAACUAAUUUUAUUAGAGAUGAAUGCCGAGUGAAGUUUUGCUUUCCUUUUGAAGGAAAAAGGGCUUUUGAGCACUGCUCUUCGGAAGGGAUGGAUUCUGAAAUAGGUGGGGAACAGGUUGUAGAAGUUGCUUCAAGUUUCGUAUCUGAAAAAGAGAAAAAAAAAGAAAAUACAUAUCAUAUGCCGAUUCGGUAAUUAAAAGCAAUUAUUUGAGCCUGGCUUACAAUUCUUGAAGUAUCAGCAGCAGCAGCAAACAUGGAAAUUCAAGAAUCUCAAUAUGUGAACAUUCACUGUGUGCAAUUAGAUACUGGCUGCUGUGCUGUUAAGGACAGUGAUGCGACUAGUAAAAGAUUUUCUGCUUAUUCUGUCUUUUGGUCAAAAAAUUCUAGUAGAGAAAACAAAGAAACGACCAAUAUCAUCAGCAGAACAAGAGGAAAUGACAUACACCUACCCUGAGUAUUUGGCAAGACCUCAGGACCUGUCCACUUAAAUGCUGGUUUUCUACCUCUCUCCUCCGUAACAUGAACUUUUUUGAUAAGCUUGAGGCUGCUGAGAACAUUUGCUAUGUCAUAAAGUCUUCUAAUUUUAGCUGAAAUUUUUUUAAAAAAAAGGUAUAGCAGUUACAAUUAACAAGUUAGUAUGUAUCAGAUAAAGAAAUGUAACACCCUUUAAGCAGCUGAAAGGAAACAGCUUUAAAGAAAAUUAUAAGUACAAUUUUGUGGAACUGGUAUUUAUACAAUGAAAUAACAUUGUGAUACAAAGUUUACAUGUAAAAUAGAGCAACAUAGAUACAGAUCUAGAAGACACUGCAAAGUUUGUUAAGCUAAAUAUCGAAAAAAGAACGUUUUCAAAACAAGUCAAUUUCUGUGCAAUGAUCAAACCUAUACAAAUCCUGUAGUAAAAAUAAGUAGACUAAAAGGCAGGUACACACAUGCAAUGGCAAACGUGGGAACUGGAGGGAAGAGAGACACUAAAAUCCAACAGGAUAAUCAUUUUGCAUGUCUUCCCUGUCUCUGGGUUGAGCUAUUAGGGAAAAGUUUUAGGCAGAAGUCAAUUUACAGGUGAGUUCUAGAGCAAAGUGAACGUGUUUAGGCCAAAACUGAUGCUGAAAAUACACAGUCUAGCAAGUCAUGGAAUUUGGGACUGUGCUUCAUAACCAAGAACGUGGUAAAAUAUGGGAUUGAUACCUGAAAUACAGGCAGAUACAUGGAAUGCCCUGAAAAUGCUUUUAGUGUGAGAUGGGCUCUUCUUAUGGAAGAACAAAAGCAAAACACCCCUACUGAGUAGCCAUCCACCCUCUCUUGUGGUGCUGUGAGGCAGUGGAAAGGAAAUAAUGAACUGAAACCAGCAAGGAUCAGUAUUUGCAUAGAUACAAUUCCACACACACACAAAAAAAAUAGCAACAAAAACCCAAAGAAAAACCCAAACAAGCAAAGGAGUCUGAGAAUCAAGGAACAGACUAAUUUUCAAUGAAACCUGCAACUAUCCCUCAAAAGCAGCACAUUUUAAAUUAUUAUAUGUGUACUGACCUAGACCUAGAAAUACCAUUUCAUUUGAAUGGAGAGGAAGGGGAGGAAGCGUGCAGGGAACUGAGAGAAGGGUAGAAGAAUGAAGAAAUAAUUGGCAGUUAGAGCGCAGGGUUUCAUUUCCUCUGACAUGCAAGUUGGUCACAGGACUUUUACAGAAUUUCUUUAGAUUUCUACCAUGUUAGUUAUGUGGCCAGAACACAGAUUUUGCAUGAUUCUGGGGCAUCUUUGGUGAAAUGAUGCUGAAAACUUUGACAGGCUGCUUAAGGAAAGAGAAAUUGUUACCAGUAUGGAGCCUUGUGACAUUACUUCAGGAGGGAGGAUUUAAUGGACUUCUCCUCUCAAGUGGGCAUUAUGUACACCAUUUAUGUACACAAAUUAUAAACCACAGAAGGUGUUUAGUGGGUUUUUGGAGGCUCAAAUAAAUAUUUGCAGCAGGAAAAAUAAGACAGUAUUUUUCAUUAUAUGAAGUAGUACUGGGAUAAUUCAUUUAGCUUACACUUGCUGUUGUACUUACUUUUAAACUUGCUUUUAUCUAAGUCUUCUAACUGAUCUUCUCCAAUCAAGAUUUUAGCAGCAACUUCAAGGCUCACUAUUUGAGGUGUUGAUACAAGAAACAGCAUCACAAAUUUCUGACUCAUCACACGUAAGGACUUGUAUUUCCUGCCAUUCACUGAUGCUGCAGCAGACAGGAGAAAGGAUUAAAGUAUUCAGUGACACACCAGCUACAAACAUAAAACACUGAAGAAAUUUGUCAGUAAUAAUAAUUGUAAGAACAACACAGAGACUAGGCAGGGCCAAUGUUGACUCCAGAAUCAUGUUUCUACAUGACAAGAAACAGAUGACUGGGUGGAUACCAACUCCAACUACAAAGAAGAAAAGGUGAUGUAUCCCACAUACACAUUUCCUAUUGUCUGACAACUCGUACUCUUAAGGUGCUUAACCCGUAAUUAAAAUUUCUUCCAUGAAUCAAAGCUAAAUUUAUAAAACAAAAUCAGUAAUUUAUGCUUCAGGUUUCUAUAAGAUUCAAUAGUAACUUCUGGUUUCUAUAAUAAUUCAGUGGUAAUGGCAAUUGGAUUAUACGUUGGUGUAUUUGAUAGUUUCGCCUGAUGUAGAAACAAGUUACAAGAACUGAAUGAACAAGAUAAGUGAGAAAGUGCAGAGCACUUUUUCUCACCACAAACAGUUGUGGUGCCUUUGGGGCAGUACCAUCUCAGAAAAAAAAAAAAAAGGCGGCAAAUAAAUGUUUUUUCCAAGUUCAUGGAAAUUGAUCAUUAUAAGAACACAUUAUUCUUGGCAUUAUAGAGAAUUAUUACCAGCACGAAAUUCCACUCCUGGGAGCUCGACAAAAGACAUUUCUGACUGCUCACUUGAGCCAAGAGAACUUGCCAUUUCUUCAUUUCUUUCCCUGUCAGGAUCGAAUUCAUGCUCAUACUCUCUUUUCUUGAUCAUCUGGAUUUGCUGUAUGUAUUUGUUCUCUUCUCCCACUUUUUUCAGGGCCUGCAGGGUCUGGGGGAGGUUGUGGCGUCCGUGCCAGACGUAUCUGUUCCUGGCCAGGCGGCUCACCAUGUGCAGGCUCUCCAGCACGUUCACAAUGUCAUAGAUGCGCCUGCGCUCCACGUCUGCAGAGGAAAAGAUGAACCUGACAUCUCUGCUACAUAAAAUAAGUUCACCCAUGCAUUACCUGCAGCACAGAUUCCCAUCCUCCCUCUUCAUAUACUUCUAAACCAUUUUUGCCAAUUCCCUGUCACAAAAAUUUCUGAAAAUAGCCCCCACAGGUCUUGCCAGCAAGGAAAACAAUUCAUUUAUAGAAGGACUUGAUGUUUCAGAGUUAUACUUGGCUUUCAACAUUCCUCGAGAAAUAAAACUUACUGUUGCCAGAAGAGCCAUUACAUGGGUUUCGAUCCAGCUUUAGAAAAAACAGAGCAUUUUUAAUUAUUCACUGCACUGAUUUUAGACUAUGUCCUUAAAUAACCUUGAAAAUUCAUGAUAGGAAACUGUUUUAUAACUUCUUUUUAUAUGUUAUUUUAUUAGCACACUUGUCUCAUUUGUCUAAUAAACUCUUGGUUUUGACCA